rnacentral:rRNA from 1 species
AUUGAACGCUGGGCGGCAUGCCUUACACAUGCAAGUCGAACGGCAGCACGGGAGCAAUCCUGGUGGCGAGUGGCGAACGGGUGAGUAAUGUAUCGGAACGUACCUUUCAGUGGGGGAUAACGUAGCGAAAGUUACGCUAAUACCGCAUAUUCUGUGAGCAGGAAAGCAGGGGAUCGCAAGACCUUGCGCUGAUUGAGCGGCCGAUAUCAGAUUAGCUAGUUGGUGAGGUAAAGGCUCACCAAGGCGACGAUCUGUAGCGGGUCUGAGAGGAUGGAUCCGCCACACUGGAACUGAGACACGGUCCAGACUCCUACGGGAGGCAGCAGUGGGGAAUUUUGGACAAUGGGCGCAAGCCUGAUCCAGCCAUGCCGCGUGAGUGAAGAAGGCCUUCGGGUUGUAAGCUCUUUCGGCCGGGUAAGGAAAGUACGUAGUAGGGUUAAGUACCCUAGGUGCGGAGUGACGGUACCGGUCGAUAAGAAGACGACCGGACUAACCGUAACG